GGAGUUGUAGCUCAGUGGUAGAGUGCUUGUCUAGCAUGCAUGAGGCACUGGGUUUGAUUCUCAGCACCA
rnacentral:tRNA from 1 species